rnacentral:tRNA from 1 species
GCACCCGUAGCUCAGUGGAUAGAGCAGCGGUUUCCUAAACCGCGUGUCGGGGGUUCGACUCCCUCCGGGUGUACCA